UACAGAGGUCCCAAGCGUUGUUCGGAUUCACUGGGCGUAAAGGGUGCGUAGGUGGUAAGGCAAGUCAGGUGUGAAAUCUCCGGGCUCAACCCGGAAAUGGCAUUCGAAACUACCUUGCUAGAGGGUUUGAGGGGGGACUGGAAUACUUGGUGUAGCAGUGAAAUGCGUAGAGAUGUGGAGGAACACCGAUGGCGAAGGCAGCCCCCUGGGUUAACACUGACGCUCAGGCACGAAAGCGUGGGGAGCAAACAGG
rnacentral:rRNA from 1 species